GACGAAGGGGGCUAGCGUUGUUCGGAAUUACUGGGCGUAAAGCGCGUGUAGGCGGUUGCCCAAGUCGGGUGUGAAAGCCUUGAGCUCAACUCAAGAAAUGCACUCGGUACUGGGUGACUAGAGGACCGGAGAGGAUAGUGGAAUUCCCAGUGUAGUGGUGAAAUACGUAGAGAUUGGGAAGAACACCAGUGGCGAAGGCGGCCCUCUGGUCCAGUACUGACACUCAAGUGCGAAAGCGUGGGGAGCAAACAGG
rnacentral:rRNA from 1 species